rfam:Sphaerobolus stellatus SS14 unplaced genomic scaffold SPHSTscaffold_73, whole genome shotgun sequence.
UGCCCCAUGGCUUAGUUGGCUAUAGCGUCCGACUGUUAAGACGCCACGAUGGUCGAUUAUCGAAUCGGAAGGUCGAGAGUUCGAGCCUCUCUGGGGCAG